rnacentral:tRNA from 5 species
GCGGGUGUAGUUCAGUGGUAGAACGUCAGCUUCCCAAGCUGAAUGUCGUCGGUUCGAUCCCGAUCACCCGCU